AAACUCAAAGGAAUUGACGGGACCCGCACAAGCAGCGGAGCGUGUGGUUUAAUUCGUUGCUACACGAAGAACCUUACCUGGGUUUGACAUGUAGGGUUGUAGGGAACUGAAAGGGACCGACCUUCGGGAGCCUAUACAGGUGUUGCAUGGGCUGUCGUCAGCUCGUGUCGUGAGAUGUUCGGUUAAGUCCGCUAACGAGCGCAACCCUCGUCGUAUGUUAUAUGUGUCAUACGAGACUGCCGGUAUCAAGCCGGAGGAAGGUGGGGAUGAUGUCAAGUCAGCAUGGCCUUUAUAUCCUGGGCUACACACACGCUACAAUGGCCAACACAAUAGGUUGCUAAGCCGCGAGGUGGCGCCAAUCCAUAAAGUUGGUCUCAGUUCAGAUUGCAGGCUGCAACUCGCCUGCAUGAAGUUGGAGUUGCUAGUAACCGCAGGCCAGCUAUACUGCGGUGAAUACGUUCCCGGGGCUU
rnacentral:rRNA from 1 species